CGUUACAUUUAAACAUCAAAAGGAUUUACAGUUAACGUUAGACCUACCGUUAAUAUUGAACCCACCAUAUGUUUAACAUGCUAGGUUGGCCACAUAACGGAAAAUGAUAUAACGUUAACGUUACUGCCUCUCAUAACGAACCGACAACCCCACAUACAGUCACAUCCCGAUGUGAAAAAACGUUACAACUAGCUAGCUUUUCGUGUCGCGUUUUCUCCAUUAUUUUAAAAUUGUACAUUUAGCUUUCACGUUAUUUUAUUAUUACCAGGAAGUGAACCAGGCAGCUCCCAGGGCUCUGCCUCUUAAUGCUGUCCUGAACAGGUCUUUUGAAAGGUGCCACCAGCUGGUAGCUGGCUAUCAUGAUUGUGUUGCAAGAUUUUCUGUACUCCAGCACAGUUGUUUAGACAGCAGGAUGAGAUGACGUGGGCACAUCAUAAACAAACAGGUUAUUCAAGUGUCUCUCCUGCUGCUCUCUAUCAUAGCAGCCACCAGCCUCGACACUGCUCCUGGUCCUGCGUGCCUCUGUCCACGGGCCCAGAGGAAGAGCAUGUCCAGCACCAAGGCUCCCAGGUUGUCCCUGGUCAGGAGAGCAGAAUAUACAAAAGAAAUUUUACAUCGGCUGAACUGAACAUUAACAAACAUACUAUAUGAAAUUUGCAAACAGUCUAUUCGUGUGUUAGUAUUAUAUUCUCCAUGCAGUUGGAAGAAAAACCAUGUAUACAUUAUAGAUAAGUAUUAAUCAAAUCUUGGAGCUUAAGCUAUGCACCACUUGUUUCCAAAGGAAAACGUUUAUUGGACAACUUCCAUAAAAUACACAAAACAUUAAAA